rnacentral:miRNA from 1 species
AAAGUUGGGUUGAGAAAG